rnacentral:rRNA from 1 species
CCUACGGGAGGCAGCAGUGAGGAAUAUUGGUCAAUGGACGGAAGUCUGAACCAGCCAUGCCGCGUGCAGGAAGACGGCUCUAUGAGUUGUAAACUUCUUUUGUACAAGGGUAAACCUGAAUACGUGUAUUUAGCUGAAAGUACUGUACGAAUAAGGAUCGGCUAACUCCGUGCCAGCAGCCGCGGUAAUACGGAGGAUCCAAGCGUUAUCCGGAUUUAUUGGGUUUAAAGGGUGCGUAGGCGGAUUGUUAAGUUAGAUGUGAAAUGUUCGAGCUUAACUCGGGAACUGCCUCUAAUACUGUCAGUCUAGAGAGUAGAUGCGGUAGGCGGAAUGUAUGGUGUAGCGGUGAAAUGCUUAGAGAUCAUACAGAACACCGAUUGCGAAGGCAGCUUACCAAUCUAUAUCUGACGUUGAGGCACGAAAGCGUGGGGAGCAAACAGGAUUAGAUACCCUUGUAGUC